GCUUGCUUUGGCAACACACAUACUAAAAUUGGAACAAUACAGAGACUAGCCUGGCCCCUGAGCAAGGAUGACACGCAAAUUUGUGAAGUGUUCCAUAUUUUU